AGUGAACGCUGGCGGUAGGCCUAACACAUGCAAGUCGAACGGCAGCACAGUAAGAGCUUGCUCUUACGGGUGGCGAGUGGCGGACGGGGGAGGAAUACAUCGGAAUCUACUUUUUCGUGGGGGAGAACGCAGGGAAACUUACGCUAAUACCGCAUACGACCUACGGGUGAAAGCAUGGGAUCUUCGGACCUUGCGCGAUUGAAUGAGCCGAUGUCGGAUUAGCUAGUUGGCGGGGUAAAGGCCACCAAGGCGACGAUCCGUAGCUGGUCUGAGAGGAUGAUCAGCCACACUGGAACUGAGACACGGUCCAGACUCCUACGGGAGGCAGCAGUGGGGAAUAUUGGACAAUGGGCGCAAGCCUGAUCCAGCCAUACCGCGUGGGUGAAGAAGGCCUUCGGGUUGUAAAGCCCUUUUGUUGGGAAAGAAAAGCAGCAGGUUAAUACCCCGCUGUUCUGACGUUACCCAAAGAAUAAGCACCGGCUAACUUCGUG
rnacentral:rRNA from 1 species